rnacentral:lncRNA from 1 species
CCCUGCUAUUCCCCAUCUGCAAUAUCAUCCUCUUUAACUGUGUGUUCAUUUUCUGCCUUACACAUUAGGCUAUACGCUACACAAGGGCAUAAGCUGACUGCCUUUCUUGUCCAUUGUCACCAGUGAGCAAGCCUCGCAUGGUGCCUGGCACAUAUUAUAAACACAUUAAGUACUAGAUAAAUAAAUAAAGGAAAUCUUGACUAGCAGAGUAGGCUCAAAAUAUCUGUAGACAGUGAAACAAGAAACAGAAACCAAGCCUUGAAAUCACUGAAGAGUAAAGAGCUGAACACCUGUCAGAUUUUUCUGGGAAUCAAGGAAGGCAACAAGAAUAAAUGAGAAAAUGUGUACAUAUAGAGAACUAAGAUGCUCUAAUAUGCCAAGUUCAAACUGGAAUGGCCCUAGAAUCUGAGUCAUGCCCUAGCAGG